GUCACGGCCGCGGGUAUAUACCUAGCACCCCUGAGUUGGUUCGGUGUACGAUUAUUGGUGCUUAUAUAGCAUCUCGUAGCUUGUCCUGUCAAGUCCUCCGUUAUAAUCCACCUGCGUCUAACUAGAUGGGUCUGCGGGGGAUAUCUAUCAGGGUCUAGGAGGCGGGAGAGGCANACGGUAUCUCAGUGGGUAGGGGUNAAAUCCUNUUGAUCCACUGAUAGAUCCAUCCAGUGGCGAUAGNCGGUUUGCCAGAACGCGCUCGACGGUGAGGGAUGAAUAGUCUGGGGGAGCAAACCGGAUUAGAUACCCGGGUAGUCCCUAGCUGUAAACGAUGCAGACUCGGUGAUGGGUUGGUCUUUGCGCCAACCCAGUGCCGCAGGGAAGCCGUUAAGUCUGCCGCCUGGGGAGUACGGUCGCAAGACUGAAACUCAAAUGAAUUGACGG
rnacentral:rRNA from 1 species